rnacentral:rRNA from 1 species
GAUGAACGCUGGCGGCGUGCUUAACACAUGCAAGUCGAACGGUGAAGGCGGAGCUUGCUCUGCUGGAUCAGUGGCGAACGGGUGAGUAACACGUGAGCAAUCUGCCCCUGACUCUGGGAUAAGCGCUGGAAACGGCGUCUAAUACUGGAUACGAGCUGCGAAGGCAUCUUCAGCAGCUGGAAAGAACUUCGGUCAGGGAUGAGCUCGCGGCCUAUCAGCUUGUUGGUGAGGUAACGGCUCACCAAGGCGUCGACGGGUAGCCGGCCUGAGAGGGUGACCGGCCACACUGGGACUGAGACACGGCCCAGACUCCUACGGGAGGCAGCAGUGGGGAAUAUUGCACAAUGGGCGAAAGCCUGAUGCAGCAACGCCGCGUGAGGGACGACGGCCUUCGGGUUGUAAACCUCUUUUAGCAGGGAAGAAGCGAAAGUGACGGUACCUGCAGAAGAAGCGCCGGCUAACUACGUG